UGGCGCCAUUGACACUUGGCCCAGUAAUCAACUACCACGUCUUCACCGGACGGGCAUUGGAGCCGCCGUACCUGUCUACAACGGCCGGAGAUGGAAAGAAAAGGAAUAAAUUCGGGUGUGGAAAUGCGUUUCAUCGAUCGUAAUCAAUGAAUUGGAAGAUUAUCCAGUCGACAAUUAACAGCAAAUAAUUCGGUUCGUUUUCUCUGUAAUUUACCAUCAAUCUUCUUCUUCUUCUUUUUUCUCUAAGAUUCCGAGUGUUUCUGCUUGAGGAGAGUGCUGGAGUGCUGGUUUCGUUUUUGUGGCGGGUUGGGUGGAAUUGGGAGGAGACUGUUAAGGCAAAAGGAUCGAGGUUAUUGCGCCGGAUUCUGAUCACCGAGAUUCCAGAUGACGAAGAAACAUCGGAAUGGCGAAAUCUGGGAAUUCGAGCGAGAAAUGUCCGGCGGAGCAGAAGGAGGAGGAGUUGGAGAUGUGAUUCUUGGAAUUGAUGGAGGAACAACCUCCACAAUCUGCGUUUGUGUUCCGUUUUUACCACCUCAGUCUCUUCAGUUUCCUGAUCCUAUUUCUCUUCUUGCUCGAGUGGAAGCCGGCUGCUCCAACCAUAAUAGCGUUGGCGAAACUGCUGCAAGGGAAACGUUGGAGCAAGUUAUGGCUGAAGCCCUUUCAAAAUCAUGUUCAAAUCGGUCAGCAGUUCGAGCUGUUUGUUUAUCUCUUUCGGGUGUAAACCAUCCAACGGAUCAGCAAAGGAUUUUGAAUUGGCUCAGGGAUAUAUUUCCUAGCCAUGUCAAACUCUAUGUUCGAAAUGAUGCUGUAGCUGCUCUUGCAAGUGGUACCAUGGGAAGGCUUCGUGGUUGUGUUCUAAUUGCUGGCACUGGGACUAUUGCUUAUGGAUUUACAGACGACGGAAGAGAAGCUCGAGCAGCGGGUGCAGGACCAAUCUUAGGUGAUUGGGGAAGUGGGUAUGGCAUAUCAGCGCAGGCUUUAACUGCAGUUAUGAGAGCGCAUGAUGGUCGUGGUCCUCAAACAAAGCUCACAAAUAGCAUUCUUCAUACUCUUGGUCUUUCUUCUGCUGAUGAACUCAUUGGGUGGACCUACGCAGAUCCAACUUGGGCUCGCAUUGCUGCACUUGUUCCUGUUGUCGUGUCAUGUGCAGAAGCAGGAGAUGAAGUUGCAAACAACAUCGUGCAACAUUCAGUCAAGGAGUUGGCUUUAAGCGUGACUGCUGUUGUUCAAAGACUUAGAUUGUGUGGUUCAGCAUCAUUAACAUUGCAGAUGGAAAGGCUUCUUUUCCCCUCGUCAUGGUUGGUGGAGUUCUUGAAGGAAAUAAGGGAUGGGGUAUAGCGCAAGAAGUUGUAAAUUGCAUUUCCAAGGACUACCCUGGGGUAGUUCCCAUCUGGCCUAAGGUGGAGCCUGCCAUUGGGGCCGCAUUGUUAGCCUGGAAUUUCUUGAAAGAUUCCCACAAAGAAUAAGGCUUUAAAAAAGUGACUGAUAGUUCUCAUAAGUUGUACAGAAGCAAAGUUGAAAUCGACGAGUCCGGAAUUAUGAAGGGGAAGAAGAAAAAUAAGUCCUGUGAGUGAGCUAUUUCAGUUCUCAACAUUAAUAUACGCAAUUAACUAACCUUCUGUCAUUUAUCAAUAAUAUUUAUGGGGUGAUUGAAAGAGGAUGUGCUCGAAGUGAUGUCAACAUUAAUGCAUGGUGGUUUUAGUGCAUUUGCUCCAAUGUCUUACUGUCAGCCUGAGAUCAAUUCCUUGGCUUUUGAGCCCCUGAGCUUAUUUAUUUUUGUGCUUUGUUCCA